CAAUAGCGUAUAUUUAAGUUGUUGCAGUUAAAAAGCUCGUAGUUGGAUUUCUGGAGGGAGCGUCGACCCGUAUUUACGAGUGCGUGACGUCUCUGUCCAUCCUUGCGGGAAGGCACGGCAUUGAUUUGUUGUGUCGGAUCGCAUCAUUUACUGUGAAAAAAUUAGAGUGUUCAAAGCAGGCUUUCGCUUGAAUACAUUAGCAUGGAAUAAUAAGAUAGGACUUUGGUGCUAUUUUGUUGGUUGAGCCUAAAGUAAUGAUUAAUAGGGAUAGUUGGGGGCACCUGUAUUGCGUUGUCAGAGGUGAAAUUCUUGGAUUUACGCAAGACAAACAGCUGCGAAAGCGUCUGCCAAGGAUGUUUUCAUUAA
rnacentral:rRNA from 1 species